UCAUGUAUGCAGGUUUCCUCACGAUAUUUUCCUUCACCGUUUGAGACACGUGAUAUUUAAUUUCUUAAAAUGCACACAACUGGAUUCGAACCUGCCAGAGAUCGUAUCCACUGGGCUAUCACGGCUCGCACCUCUCAACAUCGGACAUGUAGCUGGAUGUGAUCUGUGGCAGGUACCAGAUAGAGCGCGGCAUCAUCGUCAUCCCGAAGUCGGUGACGCGGUCGCGCAUCCUCAGCAACUACCAGGUGCUGGACUUCGCGCUGGCGCCCGAGGAUGUGACGCUGAUCGACAGCUUCCACUGCAACGGCCGGCUGGUGCCCAUGACCGCAUCGCUCGGCCACAAAUACCAUCCGUUUGAAAAUGAUGAAUUUUAACAACAUUCCCAAAAUAUUAAUACUAACCUCAUCAUUGGCGUAAAUGAGACUUGUUUAAGGCAACGACCUCCUCGUGUCGGCACGUCUUUGAUGCAAAUAUUCCCUCACUAUCCUGAAUACUGUUCUGAAGAAGGAAUUUUACGUUUUAUACAAUUUGUAGAUACAGUGCACACCCUGGUUAAACAUCUUGUGCAAGCCACAGCUUGAGACUCCAUGGUACUAUAAACGGUUCUUAAAUAAUCGCCAUUUAGUGCCUAUUGUAUGUAUUUCGUUAUCUUUAUAAGAACAUGGUUCUGUUAUCUAUAUUGUUAUUAAGAUAAGUAUAAAACAAUAAAUAUUAUCUAAAAGUU
rnacentral:lncRNA from 1 species